AUACGGAGGGUGCAAGCGUUACUCGGAAUCACUGGGCGUAAAGCGCGCGCAGGCGGCUAUUUAAGUUGGAUGUGAAAGCCUACGGCUCAACCGUAGAACUGCAUCCAAAACUAUUUAGCUAGAGUGUGGGAGAGGAAGAUGGAAUUAGUUGUGUAGGGGUAAAAUCCGUAGAGAUAACUAGGAAUACCAAAAGCGAAGGCAAUCUUCUGGAACACUUCUGACGCUGAGGCGCGAAAGCGUGGGGAGCAAACAGGAUUAGAAACCCCGGUAGUCC
rnacentral:rRNA from 1 species